rnacentral:rRNA from 1 species
GUGGGGAAUCUUCCGCAAUGGACGAAAGUCUGACGGAGCAACGCCGCGUGAGUGAAGAAGGUUUUCGGAUCGUAAAGCUCUUUCGUUAGGGACGAACGUGCUCUUUGUGAAUAAUGAGGAGUAAUGACGGUACCUAAAUAAGAAGCCACGGCUAACUACGUGCCAGCAGCCGCGGUAAUACGUAGGUGGCAAGCGUUGUCCGGAAUUAUUGGGCGUAAAGCGCGCGCAGGCGGGAUAUCAAGUCUGUCUUAAAAGUGCGAGGCUCAACCUCGUGAGGGGACAGAAACUGGUAUUCUUGAGUGUCGGAGAGGAAAGUGGAAUUCCAAGUGUAGCGGUUAAAUGCGUAGAGAUUUGGAAGAACACCAGUGGCGAAGGCGACUUUCUGGACGAUGUCUGACGCUGAGGCGCGAAAGCUAGGGGAGCGAACGGGAUUAGAUACCCGUGUAGUCC